GAAAACAUGCACAAUUUGAACCUUAAUCGGCAGCAGCAGCCGCCUAACAUGCCCAAUUAUGCUCCUAGACCAUCCCCUUUCGGCCAACCUCCACCCUUCCCGGGUGCAUCCGCACCUUAUUCUCGCCCCGGCCCUCCCCCGGCCAGACCUGCAGCUCCUCCGCAAGCAACAUUACCCCCUGGCACCACCGGAGUGAGACCUACUGGCCCACCUGCUGGUCAGUCUUCACUUUUUGGGUCUAGACCGCCUCCUGGUUCUUUCCCUCCUGGGGUGGCUCCUAUUUCUCGGCCAGCUUCCAGUCCUUUUCAGACAACGGGGUUGCCAAGUGGUCCGGUU
rnacentral:lncRNA from 1 species